UUCGCUUGUCCUGCCUCCCCCCCCCCCUCCCCCCUUUCUUUACUCUUAUCUUUCUUUGACCUCCUCUCUAAACCCUAUUACCGAUUGAUGCAACAUUUGCUGCCACCCCUUUUUUCCUUUCUUCUCUCUCUGCCAGUUAAACUUAGACCACAUCUCAAAGUUUUCCGCUGACCCUUUUUCUCUUUUCUCUCAUCUCUUAUCCAGAACCCCCCUAGAAAACUAACACCAUACUGUGUUAUCUCGUCUGUCACUACCACCACCCUCAUCAUGACCCAGAAAUUAGACUCUCCAAAAUUAUUAUGCCGCCUCAACCCCACGUGCAAAAUCCUAUCUCCCUUGUACCGAAACACUUGAGUAUCUUGACUCGGAUUCAAUAUCUAUGAUGAAGAUCCGAUGGUUAAAGCUUCAAUCCAAAAGUCUCUUGUCAAAUCGUGAGCAAAAUCAGAUGAUUUUGCCACAACGGCUAUUUUUCCCUCACAUGGUCUCUGAAAGAUAAGAUUUUAACUUUGUCCUUUUUGAUCCCAUCAUGUUUUUACUCAUUUUAUCAUCACUUUGUUCACAAUUUUUACUUCAAAUCAGAAGCUGGCAAAGCCAUAAAUUCUGCUAUAAAUACCAGACUUUAAGGCUUCAACAAUCAUAAUUCACCUAAUUUUACUCAUUGAAAGUCUCAUAAGUUCUUGUUCAAUUUCCGCUACUCACUCUUUUUUCUAUCCUUCUUGCUGUUGUAGCUGAGUUCGAGUUUGGAAUUGUUUUCAGAGAUGAGUCCUGGAUGACCGACUUUAGCCUCAGUUUGCUUCUCAACAAAAGGUCAAUGACCCUGCCUUCACCAUCUCUUCUUUUAAGCUAUAAAAGCUGAACGUAUAUUAGUUGCUAUAAUGGCUCGUUUGGUUUAUGCUUUUAAAAGGCUGAAAAAUAUCCUCAAAUGUUCUUUUAAAUGGCUCAUGUGUUAGAAAGUUUUACCUUUCAUUCAGGUUUAGAUAUCUUGUAAUGACCCAACAGGUCAUUUUGAGCUCUAGCGCGUCGUUCGGCAGUUUGAGGCCAUGAGCAAUUUCACUUCAGGUAUUAUGACUUGUACGCGUGGUCGGGAUUGGAUUUCGGGAGUUUGGAGUUGAAUUGAAAAGAAAAUUCUCAUUUUGAAAGCUUUAAGUUGGAAGAAUUGACUAAAUUGGAUUUUAGAGUAAAUGACCUCGAAGGUUCCAGCAGGUUCGUAUGAUGAUUUUUGACUUGGGCGUAUAUUCGGAUAAGGUUUUGGAUGCCCCGGGAGCGUUUCAGCACCUAUUGUGGAAGUUAGCAUUUUGGAAUAAUUCCAUAAAAUUGGGUUGAAGUGAAUUUCAAUGUUAUCGAUGUCUGUUUUGAAUUCCAAGUCUGAGAAUAGCUCCGUAUGAUGAUUCUGGUAUUGGGAGCGCAUCCGAAAGUGGAUUUGGAGGUCCGUAGGUCAUUUUGGAGUCGUUUGGCGAAAGUUAGAAAUUUGAAAGUUUUUGAGAAGUUUGACCGGAAGUGAACCUUUUGAUAUCGGGGUCGGAAUCUGAUUCCAGAAGUGGGAGUAGGUCCGUAAGUCAAAUGUGACUUGUGUACAAAAGUUUGAGGGCAAUCGGGCGUGAUUUGAUAGGUUUCGACAUCGAAUGAGGAAGUUUGAAGUUCUAAAGUUCAUAAAGCUUGAAUUGGAGUGCGAUUCAUGAUUUUAGCGUUGUUUGAUGUAAUUUGAAGGCUCGACUAUGUUCGUGAUGUAUUUUGGGACGUGUUGGUAUAAUUGGUUGAGGUCCCGAGGGCCUCGGGUGGAUUUUGGAUAGUUAACGGAUUGGAAUUUGGACUUGGGCAAUGACUGAAGCAUCAAAUUUGCUGGUGUCUGGUUUUCUUCUACGUGUUCGCGAAGGAAUUCCCGCAUUCCCGUAGAGGAAGUUGAGGGCUGCUGGGAUUUACCCUUUGCGUUCGCGAAGAAGGAAUCGCGUUCGCGAAGGGUUACUAUGAGGCAUGGGAGGUUGUACUUCGCGUAAAAAGGAUCGCGUUCGCGAAGGUCUGGCCCGGUGUGCUUCGCAUUCGCGGGAGGAACGUUCGUGUAAGAGAAAUACUUGGCCCUUUUCAUUUCAUUUUCAUCCUUGGGAGCCGGUAUUGGAGCAAUUUUGGAGCUCCAUCUUCAUCAUCUACAUCAAGGUAAGUGAUUCCCACCUAUUGCAAGCUAAAUACAAGGUUUAUAUACGGAUUUAGAUAUGAAAACUAGUAGAAAGUUGAGAUUUUGAAGAAAGACCUAGAACAUGGUAUUUUUAGAUUUUUACCACGAAAUUUGGAUAUGGAAUUGGGAAUAAAUUAUAUAUUUGAGUUCGUGAGGUUAUGGGUAAACUUUAUCUUAGAAUAUUUUCGAAAUCCGGGCACGUGGGCCCGAGGGUGAUUUUAUCGACUUUUUAAACGGAAUUGCAAUUUGUUAUAAAUUGGAUUAUAAGGAGUAUUAGAGUAUAUAUUCAUGGACCUUUAUUUACUAGUUUUGGAGCAUGGAGCAUCGGUUCGAGUUAUUGAAAAGGCCUGGGAGCCGGAGAAGGAACUUCGGAGUGAGGUAAGUCUCAUUUCUAACCGUGUAAGAGGGAAUUUAUCCCAUAGGUGAAAUAAUUCAAUAUGUGCUUCUACUUGUUGGGGGGGGGGGGGAGGGGGAGGGGUACGUUCGUACGAUGUGAUGAGAGUCCGUACGUAGAUAUUAUUAUGCUUAUAUCCGGGUAGUCUAGGACCCAAAUUGCGUUAUAUUUGUGAUGCUUGCAUCCUACUUGUUAAUUUAACCGUUUAAAAGAUGUUGGAACUUGAUAAAAGAAUUUCAAAAGGUUAAACUUCACCUACUUGGAUUUCGGACGGGUCAUUUGACCGUUAAUGAGAAUUGAUAUUUCUUUGAAUAUCAAACCUAAAUAAAUCCUUAAUUUGGUGGUGUGAAUGUGUUUAUCUUUUGUGGAACAGGCCGAACGCCUCGACAGAUUAAAUAGAUGUAUCUGUGGUUUGCGCCAUUCGACCCUCUGGCAGUGCACAGUUUAAAUAUUUAUUGGAUCGGCCCGUACGACCUCGGAAUGAUUUGCGCAUGACUUAAUUGAUUGUUUGGAAUUAUUUAUAAUUGAUAUGGCCUCAUUGACCGGAGAUAUAAAUUGUUAAAAGAUGAAAAUAAAUUUGAAAAUCUCCUAUUAACAAGAGAAUUAUUUACCUGCCUCAUGUUAUUGUGUUUACCGUUGGCUCAUUAAAUCCAUAAUUUAUCAAAUCAUCGGUAUAUUAUUUAUAGCCCAUAGUAAGUGUCCGAGUCGACCCCUCGUCACUACUUCUUUGAGGUUAGGCGGGAUACUUACUGGGUACGCGUUGAUUUACGUACUAUGCUACACUUGAUGCAUAUUUUUGUGCAGGUACACAUAUGUUUAGCUGCCUUGUGGGCGCAUAGGCGCUAUUAUGACGGGGACUUAGGUGAGCUGCAUUCUAUACGAUGCUCCGCAGCCAACAGAGUCUCCUUCGAAGUACUUAUAUUUUUUCUGUCCAAUUUGUAUUCCGGAAAGCUGUUGUAUUUUAUUUUACAUUCUUAGUAAAUGCUCAUGCACUUGUGACACCGGAUUUUGGGAUGAUUAUGGGUUGCAAUGUAUUGGAAAUUUUUAAAGAUAUUGUUACGUAUUUUGUAAACUCCGUCUUCUGCUAUUUAAUUGAAAGGAACAACUAUGAUUUCAAAAAUAUUAAAAUGAGAAUUUACUAAUUAUUGGUGUUGGCUUGCCUGACAGUAGUGUCCGGCGCCAUCACGACCUGGUCGUGACAUAUCUUAUUUUAGGAAUAUAAAUAUUGACUCGCUAACUUUAAUAUGAACAUACGAGGUGGUCGCUAGAUUCUGUUUAGUUGACAAAUAUUCUUCGUUGUUAAAAAUCAUGAUAUUGGCUUCGAGUAGAUACCAUACCUAUAGAACCUAAAAUAUUGAGAUAUGGAUUGUUCACUAGUUGCAUGAACACGUGUGAUUUUUCUGACUUGUUUGAAUUAGUUUUGGUAUGAAUUCAUAUUUGAAGUCAAGUGUUAUAAACUGUACGUGUUAGAGUCCAGGCUUUCUUGUUUAAAUCUCUAUGUCAAGUGCAUAUGAACUAGCUGGUAAUCUAACUAAAAGCCUUGAGUUUGUUUUUUUUGCUUCAUGUAUUAUUUGAGAAGAGAUUAUGGCAUUAAGUCAGUAUAUGUUUGUCACUAAAGUUGUAAAAAUAUCGCCUAUAAUUUUUUUUCUUGAAUAUUAGAAAUUUUGACCUUAGUAUAAACAUUCUUUUCUAAGAUGAAGAAUUUGGGGAGUAGUUGAUAAACAUGUUUAAGGAAGGAUCAUUUUGAUAUGGACCUAAGCAUGCAAUGUUAAAUUGGUUAUAGGCAUAGAAGGUCAUAUCAUUUCGUGAAAUUCCUUUCAUGCCUUUUGUUUGCAUCUCUUUGUUUGAAUAUGUAAAAGUUUGAUGAAGAUCUUAGAGAUUACAUAUAUAAGAAUACGUUUCUUCAUUAGUUAUAGCAAAACUGUUAACUUAUCUUGACAUAAUGUAAUGGGCCGACCGACCAUUUUGAGCUUUAGCAUUCUGUUCAGCGUUUGAUACCUUGAGUAGCUUCAUAUAAUAUAUUACGAUGUAACGAUCCAAUCAGUUGUUUUAAGCAUUUGGGUUCUAUUCAGUUGUCUGAAGUCUUGAGUAGCUUCAUAUGAUGUAUUAUGACUUGUGUGAAUCAUUGGUUUUGGUUUUCAGUAGAUUUGGGAUUGAUUUGGAAGAAUGAUGCUCGAUUAGGCAGCUUUAAGUUGGAAGAGUUGACCAAGUUUGACUUUGGUUUAUUUGACAACAUAUCAUAGUUUUGAUAGUUUUGUUAGGUCCUGAUAGUGAUUUUGGACUAAGGCGUAUGCCGGAAUUUAUAUUUGGAUGUUUCUAGACGGUUUCAGCACUAUUUGGCAAACGUUGGAAAUUUAAAGAUUUGAAAUAUUCAUAAGUUUGACCGAGAGUUGGCUUUGAUAAUAUCAAGUUCGAAUUUUUGUUUCGGGAGUGGGAAUAGGUUCGUUAUGUCAUU
rnacentral:lncRNA from 1 species